GUACAUUUGUGUUUAUAGUUCAUUGUUUACAUUAUGUGCUUGUUCCAUUUUCAGACUGAAAAAGCACAAGUUCCAGGAAGUCAGUCAGGAGCCAGCAGUUGUUGAAGAUCUGCGUCCUGCUGUGCAGUGGGUUGUCCAAAAUAAGGCACUUUUCCGUGGACACGUAACAAUGCCAAAAUAUCUGUCCUUAAAUCAAGGGGACCAGCAGAGGGUCUUAAGAGACAUGUCAGAGGAAGAAGACACUGGAGCAAGGGACUUGUUCCUCUUUGUUUUUCAGUUUGCAGAGGACAUGGAGCUCUUUUUGAAAGCAUGUGCUGAUGAGCAGGGACUAAGGGUCAGUGCUAUGUUUGACAUGUAAUGGACAAAUGAAGACACUGCCUCUGUUUGUUUGUUUGUUUAAUAUGUUGUUGCUGUUUUUUGUUUUGUUUUUGCAUAGUACAAAAUUCCAAUUAAACUUAUUUCAAAAUGUUGUUCACUUGA